ensembl:lncRNA
CCUUUGUAUUUAUAAACAGUUCAAGAAAUACAGUUUAGGGGGUUAAUUUAAGAACCCCGACAUGUAGUGUCUCUGUCCCACUGGUUCUGAAAGAUAAUUGGCUGUCAAACUGCCAACUGGCUAUCUGAUUGGACGAAGGUUCAGACUUGUUUGUAAAGUAGGAGGGCAGAAGAGCUGGAGGACACCUGAAUGUUUUCAAACAAUAUUGCCUCUGUAUGCAUUAUACAUUGACACAUUUCUUUAGAAAGUAAAAGGAUGGGCCUGCCAGCGGAAAGCCCAGAAAGAGACCCUGAGGAGGAAUCUUUUCAGUGUGGACCUGAGCAGGGAGAGGAUGGUGAGGGUUGGGGGAGCGAUAGGACACCUGAGGCCUGCACCCCUACUCUCCCAUCCACUGGCAAGAGGAAGAAGAAAAGGAAAAAGAGGUACUUCAAGUUAGAAGCUGUAUGGCACCGUCGUCUUUUGGGUGUUUCUCUAACCUCUGAGCGAGGCAGAGUAUUAUUUAAACUGCCACUUCGCUGUCAGGCCCACCCAAUCAGUUUGGGUACUUUUGUUAUUUUGGGAAGCAAGCAGUGGGCUUUAGGUUCAUGCUGAGGCAUCAGAGCUGGUGUCCGGCCUGUUUGAUACUGCAGCAGUUUCUGAAGCCAGUGUGGCACACUCAUGUUGAACUAUGUCCAUGCCCCAAUAUGCAUUGGCUUCAUAUGCAUUGGCUUCAUAUGCAUUGGCUUCAUAUGCAUUGGCUUCAUAUGCAUUGGCUUCAGAAAGCAUUUAGGCCCCUUCACUUUCUCCUAGUUUGUAUCAUAGACUGGAUUUCUAAUGAUUACAUAUAUUUUUCUGACAAUAAAUCAACAUAGAUUACCCCAUCACGGAAAAGCAAAAACACUUUUUCAGUAAUGUGUGCCAAUUUAUAGAAUAUACGAAUGGAAAUAU